UGACUCGGUUGUAAAGGUUAAAGGUAAUGAUUUUUCCAAGAUCAUGGGCAGGUUCACUAAAUUGGGUCUCUCCAGUGCGUUUGUGGAUGAAGUCAU
rnacentral:tRNA from 1 species